rnacentral:lncRNA from 1 species
GCGGCCGUUGCGGCCGGUCGUCCUGCGCCGUCCGUCGGGCACCCGGCUCCACCCGGCUCCGCCCGGCUGGCACGGCCCGCGCCGCCGCGUCCGGGGCGCACACACAGGGGCCCAUUCUUCCUGACUCCGCGCAACCAUAUGGCAAAUUCGCGUCGACACAGCAGCCCCCGCUCAUUCAGGCGCAGAAUGUCCCGCAACAGGGAACAAUCACGACUCUGUUCCCGUCUAUUAUGGAUGCGAACAGGGCGAGAAAAAAAAAUCAUUUAACUCCAAGAGAUAGCCAGCUAAUUAGCAACCAUAUGUGAGCCCGGAUUCAAAGCGAUGCCGAGGAGUUCAUUCUGCGUCGGGCGACUUUAUUAGGUAUAGAAGACAGAUGUCCCGACAGCCCACGCAUCACAGAAAAUCGUGUCCGGGAGUUCUUGAAAUGUCCGGAGAGCUCUUUAAAUAUUAAAGACCCGUCCCGCUGAUGGACUGGGCUGGGUCCUCCGGGAUCCCCAGGCUGCAGGAACAGGACUUAGCAACAGCGACUCUGGCAGACGCUGGCCUGGCUGGCCCAGGGAGGGGGUCCCUCCUCCUCCCUCCAGAGACCCCUCCCGCUGCCCCGCCAGUCUCAGACUCUUUCAUUCAGGUAAAUUGCAUUUCACACCCGAGAGGGCUGCAAUGGCCGGUCCAGGAGUGGAGUCUUCGGGCACUGUGCACAGUCCAUAAUACGGACAACAAGGCGGGGUGGGUGCCGGGGCCUCGCCUGGCCCAGAUGGGCGGUCCCUCGGAGCUCCCUGUGGGCUGGGGUCCCGGGGUGGGCGGCAGGGGCUGGGGGGCCCGGGCGCUGUGGAGGGCUCUGCUUUCCGGCCGGCAUCCGGGGUUUCCACAAAUAUUUACCCAACAAGGAAACAACAGCUCCUGCCUUUUCAGUAACUGUGGCUCCUGCUCCUCCCGGGUGGGUGCAGGCAGGGGAAGCCUGGGCAGCCCCACGCUGCCCCUCCACCUCUUGCGUCCUGCUCAGUGCUGGCCAGGCCGGAUGCCAAGGCCCAUGGGUGGGGGCAUGGGCCCAGCAGGCUCGGCACCAGGUGGGACCUAGGGCUUCUCCUCUGACAAGGCUUCCAUCCCCA